rnacentral:ncRNA from 1 species
GGGUGUGUCGGAGGCCUUCUGGUCUGAGGCCUCCGGAAGCGAUGAGAGUGCCAAGUGGGCCACUUUUGGUAAGCAGAACUGGCGCUGUGGGAUGAACCAAACGCCGGGGUAAGGCGCCCGAUGCGGGACGCUCAUGAGAUCCCAUGAAGGGUGUUGGUUGCUUAAGACAGCAGGACGGUGGCCAUGGAAGUCGGAACCCGCUAAGGAGUGUGUAACAACUCACCUGCCGAAGCAACUAGCCCCGAAAAUGGAUGGCGCUCUAGUGUCGAGCCUAUCCCCGGCCGCUGCCGGCAGAUGCACGCAAACAAGGGGGUGCUAAGCUGCAGCGAGUAGGAGGGCCGCUGCGGUGAGCGUUGAAGGUGUCGGGCGUAAUCCCGCCUGGAGCCGCCGCUGGUGCAGAUCUUGGUGGUAGUAGCAAAUACUCAAGUGAGAACCUUGAGGACUGAAGUGGAGAAGGGUUCCAUGUGAACAGCAGUUGUUUUUUGUUUUUAAGAUAAUAAGGUUCCUGAAUGCAGGUGAUGCGUUGUUUAAUUUCCAUAGUAUCUAUCUUAAGUUGGUCUAUAGCUCUUAUACAGUGAUUUGCGUUAAACUGCAGGAUAUCUAGUCUGCUAUCCGAGCUGGUCAUAAUUAGUGUUUUAAGUUAAUGUAUGUUCAGCUCAAAAGCGGGAAAAGAUAACUAUUGAAUUAGAGCUAUGUACCUGUGAAUGCUUGGUAAAGAGGCUUUUAGUAGGCUAAAUAUCGUCGGGCCUGCUGCUCCUUCUCAAGCAGGGCCCUGCAUGCCCUCGAACCAAACGAGUGUUCGACGUGAAAUCUCGUCUUGAACUUCUCGUUGCUCCGAACGCAUGCACGGCACCGCUUCUCAAUUGCCCUGCAGUUGGCCCGGGGUGGUCGCCGGAACACUCAGUGCAGGCCGAGGACUGGUCUUGCACACUU